rnacentral:rRNA from 1 species
AUUGAACGCUGGCGGCAUGCCUUACACAUGCAAGUCGAACGGCAGCACGGGAGCAAUCCUGGUGGCGAGUGGCGAACGGGUGAGUAAAGUAUCGGAACGUGCCCAGUCGUGGGGGAUAACGUAGCGAAAGUUACGCUAAUACCGCAUACGAUCUAUGGAUGAAAGCGGGGGAUCGCAAGACCUCGCGCGAUUGGAGCGGCCGAAAUCAGAUUAGGUAGUUGGUGGGGUAAAGGCUCACCAAGCCGACGAUCGGUAGCGGGUCUGAGAGGACGACCAGCCACACUGGGACUGAGACACGGCCCAGACUCCUACGGGAGGCAGCAGUGGGGAAUUUUGGACAAUGGGCGAUAGCCUGAUCCAGCCAUGCCGCGUGCAGGAUGAAGGCCUUCGGGUUGUAAACUGCUUUUGUACGGAACGAAAAGGUUUGGCCUAAUAAGCUGAGCUCAUGACGGUACCGUAAGAAUAAGCACCGGCUAACUACGUGCCAGCCGCCGCCGUAA